GCCGAAGUAGCUCAGCUGGGAGAGCGUUAGACUGAAGAUCUAAAGGUCCCUGGUUCAAUCCCGGGCUUCGGCA
rfam:Tinamus guttatus contig53350, whole genome shotgun sequence.